UCCGCAUUAGUGUAGGGGUUAACAUACUCCGCUUUCAUCUAUGAGCCGGAGAGCCCCGGGUUCGAUUCCCGGAUGCGGAA
rnacentral:tRNA from 2 species